CAUGUACAAGAGUCUUCUUUAAAGUGUGUGCAACGGCUUCGUGCACAGACGUACUCGAAAUGUAGUGCCGACGUUUAGUUCCGCGGUAACUCUAAACCUCAUUGGGCAUCUUUUCGCCUCAUGCCCCGGUAACACAAUAAAUACUGUGGCGUCACUGGGACAAGUGGCUGGUCUGGUAUGACAGUAUGGAUGAGAUGCCGAAAAGCCACCUAUACUGUAAAAACUAACUCCAUACACACGCGGCCGCGAAGAUGCAACUCAGUUUUGUCUCUUAUACUUCCGCCAUUCCCAAUCAGCUCAGGGCCCAGUACACACGCCGACUCUCUCUGGGUGGAGGCGAAGCCGCCCGCCGCUCUCUAUCCCUGCCAAAUGCGGAGCCACCUCUGGUGGUGACAGGGUGAGGCGCCUACGACCUGGGGCGAGGUGAGAGCGAUGUGUCGCUGCUGGUGUCGGAUAGCAGGUCCUGGACGGCGUUGCGUCUGAGCGACCUGCGACCGUGGACACACGUGUGCCAUCCACAUGAUGGGCAGAGUGUCCGCGUCGCUUGAACGCACCCCACCACCCGACCCUCGCACUGCCCGCUGGUGUGGGGAGCCCGAGGCCCCUCCGAGGGGGCUGCAUCACGUGGCGACCGGCAUGAUGUGGGAGCGGCUGUGAGGCGACCUGCGCGAUGCGGCGGCGGUGGUGGUGGUCGGGGCUUGAGGCGGAGGCGGUGCUGAGAUGACUGGGCCGACGCAUUGCUGUACCGCGUGUGCGCACCGCUGCUUCGCAGGGCGGGAUGGGGCCUGCGGCAUGCCGGGGUGGGGUGGCGCUGGAGCUCGUGCUGGACGGCAGAGGGCGGGCGCACUUUGUAAAGGAAAAGUGUGCAUAUGGUCGUGAAGUCACCUAUUAUUUUCUAAUAGAAGGAGUGUUAGAUUGAAAACAUGACCUGUACGUGAUAUCUUAGAGGAGAAUAGUGUUUUGUAGUCAACGGUUGUGGUUUACACCGGCAUUAGAAGCCCUGAUCAGGGGUACAGUCAUCCCACUAACUGUGAAAGCCGGCACGAAUGAGAAAUCGUAGCAUUUUAUAGGUGGUACUUUACUCCAACUUUUUGGAUUUUUCGUAAGCAAGUAUCAGUGGCAAAUAUGCAUAAAGUGAUAAAUCUUGUGCGUGAUCUGAAGCUGCUGCGCUCCUGGACUG
rnacentral:misc_RNA from 1 species